rnacentral:rRNA from 1 species
ACGAACGCUGGCGGCGCGCCUAACACAUGCAAGUCGCACGGUGAGACGGGCUUCGGCCCGAGGAUCAGUGGCGAACGGGUGCGUAACACGUGGGCAACCUGCCCCUCACACUGGGAUAACCCCGGGAAACCGGAGCUAAUACCGGAUACUCCGACCGAACCUCAUGGCUCGAUCGGGAAAGGUCCGCCGGUGAGGGAUGGGCCCGCGGCCUAUCAGCUUGUUGGUGAGGUAACGGCUCACCAAGGCGACGACGGGUAGCUGGUCUGAGAGGACGACCAGCCACACUGGGACUGAGAUACGGCCCAGACUCCUACGGGAGGCAGCAGUGGGGAAUCUUGCGCAAUGGGCGAAAGCCUGACGCAGCGACGCCGCGUGGGGGAUGACGGCCCUCGGGUUGUAAACCCCUUUCGGCAGGGACGAAGCGAUCGUGACGGUACCUGCAGAAGAAGCCUCGGCUAACUACGU